rfam:Schistosoma rodhaini strain Burundi genome assembly, scaffold: SROB_scaffold0002490
AUCCAGAUGACGAGUCUUAAAUAGGACGAGACGUGCCUCCUGGAU